rnacentral:rRNA from 1 species
UACGUAGGGGGCUAGCGUUGUCCGGAAUCAUUGGGCGUAAAGAGCGUGUAGGCGGUCCGGUAAGUCCGCUGUGAAAGUCGGGGGCUCAACCCUCGAAUGCCGGUGGAUACUGUCGGGCUAGAGUGCGGAAGAGGCGAGUGGAAUUCCUGGUGUAGCGGUGAAAUGCGCAGAUAUCAGGAGGAACACCUAUUGCGAAGGCAGCUCGCUGGGACGUCACUGACGCUGAGACGCGAAAGCGUGGGGAGCAAACAGG